AUGAAAAAAAAAAAAAAAGAAAGGAAAAACACGCAUACCCUCUUUCUCUCUCAGAUCUACCUCUUCCCCACCAGACCUCACUUUCUCUCUCUCGUGUCCGAUCUGCCAGACUUGAACGAUCGCUUUCCAGUCGCCGGAAAGCUACACGUGUCGUACAGGCGUGUUCCCCGGCCUCUGAAAUUUCGACCCCCGCGUACCCGCCGCCGUACGUGCCACUUAAGGUCCCCAUUGGGCUUUCAAAGUUCGAACGAAUGGGAGUACUACGAAGCUUUCCGAGUACUUUUUGGCCACCCUAAGCUACCACUAGCCGAGCCGCCACCACUACCAUACUCCUUAUGUUUUGUGCUUCAAAACCCACUGAAGGAUCGGACUCAACUGUGGUCGAAAUUGGAAUCGACGUUUUGGCUGGCUUAAAUCUGAAAUGGAUAUUUGAUUUUGGACUAGCAAAAUAGAUGCCACGUAAUGGACUCAUCAUUCAAUUGCUCUUAAUAUUUCUCAGGCUGACCUUAUCAUCAACAAGUAGGCCGCAUGCUUCUUCAGUCCUGGAUUGUGGCGAUUUCUCUUUGUGUUAACUGAGAAGAUGAAGAAUGGCUAAAACUCUACUUGGAUAUUUAAGAUAACCAAGGGAACCAAGGCAACAAGAAAUUCUUCUUCAAGUUGUUGGGUAUUAUUUUCUUUCUAGCUUGUAAGAAUUAUGUACAGUGAGGAUUUUAUGUAUUAUUUACAUUGAGAAUGAUGAAUUUUUAUUGAGAAUUAUAAUGAAUUUUUGUUUAGAAUUAUUUAGUCUCAUGAGGAUUUUAUGUAUUAUUUACAUUUCAAUUGUAUGAAUACAUGUUGAAUGUAAAUGGAUUUUUAUUAUGAUAUAUAUAAUUUAUUUUUACAA